ensembl:lncRNA
CUACUGUACUCCUCUCCUCCCAUACCGCUCUAUGACAGCUCUCUCCUGUGUGUGUGUGUGUGUGUGUGUGGUGCGCUACUGUACUCCUCUCUUCCCAUACCUCUCUAUGACAGCUCCCAUCUGGACUGUGUUCAAUUAAAUCUUCCUCUUUGUCAGGGAGGUUCACCGCUGCAAUAUACGCACACACACACACACACACACACUCACAAACAGACACACACGUCUGUCUGCUUUUACUACCAAUUAGAACAUGUAAAUAAGCUGACAGGAAGUCGUUAUUCAUGUCAGAGAUUUGAACAAUCGCACACUGCCAUCAUUAGUGUAGUCAACGUUAAAAUAAGCCUGUCAAAUGAUCAACUACAACCAAAACACACACCUAUGAUAUGAGGUACACUAACUUUGGAUUAUCGCAGACCUCUGUCACAUAACAAAGUGUAAAAAAAUAUAUUCUAUAUUUGAUGGACUGAAAAUAUAUCAAAGAAAGGAACACAGAAACAUUAAAACAAAAAGUAUUUAAUAUUAACAUUCAUAGUUGUAGGAAGAUAAAAACAUCAGAAAAGGAGAAUAAAUACCAGCACCUUUAGCAUGUGACGUCUGAAGUCACGUGACGUCUGAAGUCACGUGACGUCUGAAGUCACGUGACGUCUGAAGUCACGUGACGUCUGAAGUCACGUGACGUCUGAAGUCACGUGAAAAUAAUAUCACUUACAGAACUCGCUAGCUCGAAGCCAUAAAAAAAUAAUUUAAUGAGUUGUUAGUUUCUACAUCUGGAUCGUGCAGACAUUCCUAUGGGUGAAAUAAACGGGGCAAUAAGGUUUGAGGUUAACACCAGAAUCAGUCAGUUAACAUGACCUCUAUGAAUCAAAAUGAGUCCGUUGCUAAAGAGUCGCUAGCUGUCAGAAAUGGAACUACAACAGCCAAGUGUUAGGAGUUCUCGAGCUUCGUUGGAGACGUCAAAGGCAACCUGACGUGUAGUUUCAUUUAUUUAUUUUUUACAUGUUAGCACAUCGGUAGCUUUUCACUUGUUUUGAGUACAUAAAUGCUUCAAAAUUCACAAAAAAAGUGAUGUUAGCUGACGAAGAUGAUCUCAUAGAACUAAAUGUAUAAAAUCGCCUAAGUCUGUGUUUACCACAUGCCUUAUUUUGACCAUUUAAUAUCCCAAACCAACAAACAACCAACAACAACAAAAAAAAAAAACAUUAAUUUGUCAAACAAGGUGGAGUUAGCCUCCUUUAGCGCCCUCAAAAAGACGCCAUUAAUAUUGCUCUCUAUCGUUUUAAUUUAUAGGCCUAUAGUAGAUUAUAGAAUAAAAACAGGGCCUCAAUAACACUGCGUCCCCUUUUAUUUGGUUUUGCCAGCGAAGAAGAAAGGAGAAAAGGAACAUUUUGCCAACCGAAAUACUGUACGUUUCCCCUGACAGUGACCCAAUAGAGGGGAGCUCUAUACAACCAGAAAAACACCCAGAAAACAUCUUAUUAUCACAAUAUAAAAUCCCAUCACAAUACACACGAGAUCCUCACCCCUACCUGCUCAGUGAUGGAGGAGCCUGAGUACACAGUGUCUGUUAGUGAUUCCACCUCAGUGAGGGAGGAGCCUGAGUACACAGUGUCUGUUAGUGAUUCCACCUCGGUGAGGGAGGAGCCUGAGUACACAGUGACUGUUAGUGAUUCCACCUCGGUGAGGGAGGAGCCUGAGUACACAGUGUCUGUUAGUGAUUCCACCUCAGUGAGGGAGGAGCCUGAGUACACAGUGACUGUUAGUGAUUCCACCUCGGUGAGGGAGGAGCCUGAGUACACAGUGUCUGUUAGUGAUUCCACCUCAGUGAGGGAGGAGCCUGAGUACACAGUGUCUGUUAGUGAUUCCACCUCAGUGAGGGAGGAGCCUGAGUACACAGUGUCUGUUAGUGAUUCCACCUCAGUGAGGGAGGAGCCUGAGUACACAGUGUCUGUUAGUGAUUCCACCUCAGUGAGGGAGGAGCCUGAGUACACAGUGUCUGUUAGUGAUUCCACCUCAGUGAGGGAGGAGCCUGAGUACACAGUGACUGUUAGUGAUUCCACCUCAGUGAGGGAGGAGCCUGAGUACACAGUGACUGUUAGUG